GGAUAAUCCCUUUUAUCAGAGCACAUCUCAUUUCCAAGUGGCUGUUGCGCUGCUGUUUGCCCCCACUCCUUCAGUGCGACAGACAGCCUCAGAGCUGGUGGGGAGACAGCAUGCCACUGGAAAAAUUCGUAGACAUGGAAUUCCUGGAUCAAAUGGUCACCGAUUGUUUCAGCAUCACUUAUUGAAUAAUCCAACGCAACAACUGUUCUUCCAUUAGAUGGGGUGUAGCUUUCCACAGGUCGGCCAUUUUCUCUUUACCCAAGAUGGUUACAUUUCGCAAUGGUACUCAUACCUUCCUGCAGCUUCUGACAGCAUACUAGAGCACCAUGUUUGUGCUUGUGCGUUUCAAAAAUCCUAGGCAC